AUGCACAUAUUCAAAUUGUCCAUGCACUUUCAAAACGUGGAAUGCCCUACAAAGUCACUUAUGCAGAUCACAUGCCAAUCAAACAUCUUAAAAAUCUGUAGAAUUGGCAACGUUCAGCUGCCAUCUGUGUUAAUGUAGUGGUAUUGCCUCAGUGCAAGAGUAUUUUGUUCAUGUUAACAACCAUCUUAGGAGUCAUGAAACAGCUAUAUGUUUGAGGGCUGUUCUUUUCAAACAAACAUUUAUGGCACAUUCAAGUCUCACAAGAAUAUGAAGCACAAUCCUUAUACACUGAAAGAUAACCACAACUUCCAAGUUGACCAGCUGGUCAUUAAGGAGCUAGCCAAUGCGUUUUGUGCAUCUAACCCUUUGUUAAAAGCAAUAGGAAGGGAUGGCCCACUAGCUUCUGCUUUUAAACGCAGACAGUACUACAGAGAGAAUUUCAAAGUGGAUGAUCCAGUUGAAUACAUACUUGAGGCUCAGGCAAACCAAACCUUUCAGUACAUUCCCAUACUAAAGUCUUUACAACAGCUUCUUAGUCAGAACGAUGUGCUCGAUAGAGUUCUUGAAAAUCAUACAGCACAACAUUUAGUGAGUGAAAAACAGCAGUACAGAUCUUUUCAGGUUGUCAGCACUUCAAAAACAAUGAGUUUCUGUCAGGAGAGGAAUUGAGAAUCUCUGUGUGCUUGUAUGUAGACGACUUUGAAAUUUGCAAUCCCCCAAGAACGUCACGCAAGAAACACAAACUUUGCGCCGUUUACUGGGUAAUUUGCCACCAGGUUGUCAAUCAUCACUGUCCUCAAUUUAUCUUGCAUUGUUAUGUAAAAGUAGUGAUGUAAACACUUAUGGUUAUAGGAAAAUAUUAGAGCCUUUUUUGCAAGACCUUGUCACUUUGGAGCAGCAGGGGGUGUUCAUCCACCAACUAGGAGGCUUUGUGGAUUGUUUCUCUGGGAAUUUUUUCUGUAGCUUUUGUACAGCUCUGCAUUCAGAAAUUCAGUCGAAGGAAGUGAAAGUGGGUGAAUUUAGUCUCAGAAAUAAAGAACUUCAUCAGGUGCAUGUAACAUCUGCUCAAGAGAAAGGGGUAAGCUGCUAUGGUGUGAAAAAGGCAUGUGCUUUAACUGACAGCCUUGCCCACUUUAAUGUUACAACAGGCUAUCCCCCUGAUGUUACACAUUAUCUUUUUGAGGGCACAGUACCAGUAGAGCUUGUAGAAUGCUUUGGAUUGCUUAUAUCAAAGAAGUUCUUCACUCUUGAUGGCCUCAAUGAGCUCAUCCGGACGUUUCCGUACAAGUGGAGAGAUAAGACUAAUCGCCCACAUUUGGUGCCACAUACCUUCCUAAGUAAAAAAACAAUAGGUGGCAACUUACACGAGAAUUUGUGUUUAUUAAGAUUAAUUCCAUUAAUAGUUGGGCAAUUGAUACCUGCAGAUGAACCAGUGUGACAAGUGAUUUUAGACUUGAAAGAUAUUGUAGAGCUGGUUGUUGCUCCUGUUCAUACUGAUGAGUCAAUUGCAUACUUGGAAUGUAAAAUCACAGAGCACCGACAUAGAUAUCAAGAACUUUUCCCCGAUAGAACACUGCUGCCAAAACAUAACUUUUUGGAGCAUUAUCCAGAAAUGAUUUGUCUCUUUGGUCCCCUUGUUUUGUUGUGGACAAUGCAGUUUGAGGCUAAACCCAUUUUGUUUUAAGCAAGUUGUUCGGCACAUAAAUUGCUUUAAAAACAUAAUGCUGUCCUUGGCAAAUACAUCAGCUGAUGGUUGGCCAUCAUAUGCAUUCACCGAGCUGUGAAAAAUCCUCCUUGGAGGUUGCACGUGUCUCAACAAUCUCUGUUGAUGUCAUGAAAUAGGAUGUAGCACUUAGCCUCAGUCAGAAAUACCCUGAUGUCACUGUAGUUAACCUUGCCCAAAGUGUCUCUAGUAGUGGCAUAAACUACAGAAGUGGCAUGAUAAUUGUGCAUGGAUCAGUUGGUGGACUACCUGAGAGAGUUCAGAUGUGUGUUUUGAAGGAUACAUUGAUUUUCAUAGUGAGAAAACUAUGUUCGUGGUAUAGGGAGCACUACAGAGCCUUUCAUUAAGAUCCAUCUCCAAGGGAAGUUUCCCUGAUUGAGCUCAGUGAACUGGCAGACUGGUAUCCCCUCGCUGACUACAAGGUUGGAACCCUCCGGAUGGUGACAAUGAAAAGAUACAUACACCUGGCAGAAUAACAAUUUGACAUAAUGACUGCACCAGCGAAGCUUUGGAUCAUCCUGGGAGAAAAUGAUGCUUCAAGAUUAACUCUGCCCUCUGGGAUACCUGAGUCUUUAGAUGAACUUAAAAGUGAAAUUCAAAGACAAUUUGGGCUGUCUGGACUUUAGACUGCAGUUUAGGGACAUUGAGUUUGAUAACGAGUUUAUGAACCUGACCGCGACAACAGAAAUCCAAGACAAAGGAACAAUCAAAGUGAUUUAUUCACCAUGUGCCCCUGCCCUCUUCAUUCUACACUCCUUCAUGGCUUGGACGAGUCCUCCUCCCUUUCAUCAGUGGACACAGAUAUACGCUCAUCCCGAGUCAACGUCGUCCCUCAGAUCUCAGGCAUGGCCAGACAGCUUCCCUAUACCUCAGUUCACCUAUGAUGUAGAGAUCCAACUAGAAAGGGCUAACCAUGCAUUCCAAACCAAUGGCACUCUCUUGAGCCCCAAUUCAAAACUGAAGUCUGACAUUCUAGAGGGCUUAGCAUCAGAAAUAAUCAAGUACAAAGCAUACCCUUCAAGUGCAGAAUUUGAUGAGAUAGCUGAAGCUUUGAUAAUAAAGCAUCCAUGUUUAAAGGAGCAAGGAUCAGUUACUGGUUAGUUUGGAUUAGUUUAAAAUAUAAAAUGGCCAACUAUUGCACAAAGCUGAGGAACAUAGGAUGCUCGGAGUUGAACAUCAAUUCCCUCAAGCACAAACGGGGUGAUAAAUGCAUGGGUCAAAACAAAGAAAAGAAACCAAGAAGAGCUGAAGUCAACUACUGUCCGGACUACCCAGCGGGAGAAAACAAGGAGACUCUUGAGGAAGAGAGGGUAGCACUGCAAUCUGAGGUCAAGAAAAAGAACAACCAGCAGGUGGUUAAAGAGAAAAUGGAAAAAAACUUUUGCUUACAGGAAGCCUGAAGUGAUUGAAGACAUGACCUUUAUUGCAGAUUUCAAAAGAAGAUGGUCGGCUCUCUUUUCUGAGCAUGAGGUAUGCAGAGAAUUCACUCGCAUCACCACCGUCCCUUUGCUGUCGAAGUUCAUGUCUCAAUUGGAUCACUACUCCACCAAACUGACCAGUGUUCCAAAGGAAAGGGGGAGCAGCAGGACACAGAAUGAGGAACGUAAUGGCAGUCAUGGGGCCAGAAUGACAGCAUUGAAACUAGAAGAGCCUGCAUCCUUAAAGCACUUGCCGACUACCUCAAUGAAGAGCCUGAAAAGCUCAUAAAGGAGUACUUGGAUGUCGACGCUGAUGACGCCCAGAAGAAGAUGGAUCAGACAGUCAUCGGAAUCUGUGUGAUUAAACAUUAAGGCGCAGAUGCCGUGGACCCCCCUGAGGAUGUUGGGAUCAUAAUUGAGGGUGUGCAAGUGCUUCAAUAUCUGGGAGACGCUGCAAAUGCGUGUGCCCUGUUGCUUGGCCUCAUAUACGCAUUGAACCACAUCUUGUCCAUCUGUACUGUACUGUACCUUGAAUAAGAAAGGUGCUUGUUGUCACAAAGAAUUGUUGGCGUGACAUGUUUUUAAGUUGAUGUACCGUUUGGCUUGUAUUCAAAUGUUUUUGUUACAUUGUGGAAAGGCUGGGGUCUCCAGGAGAGGUUUAAAAUCACUGACAACUUGUGACAACUGUGAGAACUGUUAUUAUUUACUGUUUAUUUCCAGUUUUGAUAGAGCAGUCUUUUCAAAUCAGUUGUUGGAUGUUGACAAAACCUAGUUAUGUAAAUCCAAUAACGAUGAUGCGUUUGAUUUAUUAAACUCAGUUAAG